UCCCUGGUGGUCCAGUGGUUAAGAUUCUGCCUUCCAAUGCAGGGGCCUCAGGUUCCAUUCCUGGUCAGGGCA
rnacentral:tRNA from 1 species